CAAAAAAAAAAAAAAAAAAACACUCCAACCUGAAACUGUUGAAUGAAAUCACCGAACCAUGUAUUACCUGUAGUAAUGAUGGUGAUAUUGACUUGAACCAUAAAAGAAUAUUAUUCAUCCUGCACCUUUGACAUAUCACUAAUUUGCGCAAAAAGGAUUUCAUUCCAUGUGUCAGGAACACCAGGUAGACACCAAUGCAAGCAAUCCUGCACUCCUGGUUUGGCAGUAAUGCUAAAUCGUGAUAUGUGGCCCUCAUCUCUCAGCUGAGACAGAGCUGUUACGUCCAAGAGCUUAACCCCCGUCCCUUUCACUGCACUACCAGCACUAUAAUCACUAGAAUCAUUUUGCAUUACUACCUUUCCAACAGACAUGGGGGUUGUAUUGUCACAGCUUCCCCCAGUGUUCCAGUCGCCAUUAACAAAAUGCCUAGGUGAGAUGCUCCGGUAGAAGGCUUUCAAGCGUGGAUGUUUUGGAAGUUGUUUGUUCACCCAGUCAACAAUGCUGUGGAUUGUAAAAUUUUUGGCAUCUCCAAUCAUUGCCAGCUUCUUGUUGCUGUUGGGCAUACCACCCACAUGCAUGACCCAGCGAUUUUCCCUAAGCUUCCCUCGGUUCCAAUGAUGCCCUGUGUUGAGAACAAGGACAUCUAUUUUGUGAAGAAACAAGCGCAAAAAAGCAGGUGGCCGAUCAAGAUGCAUGGCAUAAUCAGUGGCUGGGUUUUUUAUAUCAAUAGGUUCCAAGUCACAGAGGCAAGCUGACCAGUAAUAAAGCACAGUAGUGUUGGUGCUUGGAAACCAAUAUGCCCACCCAUUAGGGCGGACACCACCCCGAGGUUUGACAAGUGCAUACUUCUCUCCCACAUCAAUGACAUCAUGCCUAUCAUUUCCACCUGUGAUCAUACACAUUAGAGACUGGAACUGUUGUCGGCCCAAUGAAUCUCCAACAAAAGCUAGAGUCUUGUCUUGCAUCCUUUUUAAGAACUUAGCCCCUUCAAAUUCUUCCAUUUGGCAAUUGUUUGGUUGCCAUCGCAGCUUCUCAUAGGCAAAAUCUGUGCGUUGCAUCAACCGGCAGGCCCACAUUUGUGCAAGCCAUCGCUUACAGCCAAGACCAGAAUACAAAGGCCGACUGUUAUCUACAACCCAUUUCCCUUUUGCAUAAUUACAGGCUUCGUUAUUCACAAGCACUGUAAUAUUCUUCUCAUCUUGUUCCUUGAGGGAAGAGUUUGCACUUGCAUAACCCAUUGGUAUUGCUAAAUCCAGGGUUUGCCCUUUUUGUUUCAGAUCUUUUUCUCCUUCAUUCUGGUCAUGCUUUCCUUUUGUUUCUGUCACAAUAGAACCCUCUGCACUUCCAUUUUCUCCAAAUUCCACCACCAGAUUGUCUUUAGCUUCUGUUUCUGUUACAGAAGAGCUAGCAUUUUCUUUGGCUUUGGACAAAGGAGAACUUUCUCCACUGCCAAUUUUUCCAACUUCCAGUACUUGUUUAUUUUUUGCUUCUGUAUGUUCUGUAGCUGGGGGAGUUUCUGCAUAGUCACAUGAAUCUCAUGACUUGUAGUAUGCACUUAUGAAGGCACUCACCUCAAGUCCCAAUAAUAUUCCACAAAAAAUCCAGAAAGGAAUUUAAAAAAAAGGAAAAUAUAAAAUAGGAAUAUUAAAUCCAGUUAGGAACACUCUAUCUACUAGAAAAGGUGCAGAUUAAAAUGAGAUUUAGAAUUAGUUAUUCAAAACCACAAGGCCACUAAACAAUGAAAAUCUUCAUCAGGUUCCUUAUCAUCACAAGAAUGCAAAAGAAAAGCAACAAUUACCUUUAUCUUGAACACGAGUUCUUGGAAAAUAGUUGCCUGCAGGAUUCUGAUCAGCCACAUCUACAUCUUUGCUAAUUUGAAAAUGUGGUUCUGAAGAUGCUGAGCUAACAAAGGAUUACCAUUAGAAUGUCUAUGUCGCAGUUAUGGGAAGAUAAAGUACUUAAUUUUCAAUCUUGAACGAUUAGAAUUCAGUAUAAGCAAAUGAAUUUUUCAACUGUAUCCCAUGAACAAUAACAGCGAUUGUCAUUUCAAAAAGGUGAGCUAGUGUUUUCACGGCAUUUAUGAAGACUAAAUGUCACCUUUAUGUGGAACAGAUUGCAUGAAGGAAUGCCAAGAUUAUACACAACUCCUUCAAUUUUCUGAAUGUCAAAGGUAAAAGAUUUAUACACUAGCAACAUACCUUGAGGUAGCUGGAACUGCUCUUUAGGUGGAAGUAAGGUAGUAACAAAUGGGGCUCUAUCCCAUGCCCAUAUGAGAAUGGUUGUGCCCAAAAUAACAAUGAGAAGAAGAGAGAAUUCUUUACCCCUGAAACGGGAAAAUCCUCCUUUCAUCCUAAAUAAACAUAAAGACACAUGUAAACUUGUCAAAAAUGUCUCCAAAGACCACCAGAAUAUAAAAUUUUCCAGUUUCUAAAACAGAAAACGAAGCAAGAGCCUCUGAAAUUUCUCACUUGAGCCAUUUCCCUGGCAUGCAAAGACAAAUAAAAAAAAAUCCAAACACAGAAACAUGAAAUUAUAAAUAAUUACUCAUCUGAGGUCGACAAUUCCUAAUUAAAAUAAUCUAUAAUGAAAAAAAUUAAUCUCUAGCAGUAGCAGAUCCUGCAGUUUCGAUCUGAUUCCAGUAGAUGAUGCUAUACUUACGAUGAAGGAAAAAUAAAAAGCAAUGAAUGAUUAAGAGGAGUACCUCAUAAGCAAGAUUCUGCGAGAAAAAAUUUUAGAAAUCGCCAGAAAAAAGAAAUAUGGAAACGAAUUAUAAGAAGAGGAAAUUUCAUAGAAGACGGCAAGGGGCGGAGGAGAAAAGAACAAAAUUGGAAAAAUAUAAA
rnacentral:misc_RNA from 1 species